rnacentral:misc_RNA from 1 species
GAUGAAGAACGCAGCGAAAUGCGAUACGUAAUGUGAAUUGCAGAAUUCAGUGAAUCAUCGAGUCUUUGAACGCACAUUGCGCCCCCUGGUAUUCCGGGGGGCAUGCCUGUCCGAGCGUCAUUGCUGCCCUCAAGCACGGCUUGUGUGUUGGGCCUCCGUCCUCCUCCCGGGGGACGGGCCCGAAAGGCAGCGGCGGCACCGCGUCCGGUCCUCGAGCGUAUGGGGCUUCGUCACCCGCUCUUGUAGGCCCGGCCGGCGCUUGCCGACACAUCAAUCUUUUUUCCAGGUUGACCUCGGAUCAGGUAGGGAUACCCGCUGAACUUAAGCAUAUAUAAGCGGAGGA